rnacentral:rRNA from 1 species
CUGCAGUGGGGAAUUUUGCACAAUGGGCGCAAGCCUUUCUUCUUGGCUCGCACCUCUCCGCGGGAGCGACCCUUCUGGCUGUAAAGAGCUCUAUCGCCCGGGUAGAAACCGCAUUUCUGUCAAUACCUUUGUCUUGGAUGGCCGCUCGACGUG